GAUGGUAUAGCUUCAUAAUAGAGCACAUGCUUAGCAUGCAUGAAGCCCUGGGUUCAACUCCCAGCACCAAUU
rnacentral:tRNA from 1 species